CCUACGGGUGGCAGCAGUGGGGAAUAUUGGACAAUGGGGGCAACCCUGAUCCAGCCAUGCCGCGUGUGUGAAGAAGGCCCUCGGGUUGUAAAGCACUUUCAGUGAGGAAGAACGCCUGGUGGUUAAUAUCCAUCAGGAAAGACAUCACUCACAGAAGAAGCACCGGCUAACUCCGUGCCAGCAGCCGCGGUAAUACGGAGGGUGCGAGCGUUAAUCGGAAUUACUGGGCGUAAAGCGCGCGUAGGUGGCUUGAUAAGCCGGUUGUGAAAGCCCCGGGCUCAACCUGGGAACGGCAUCCGGAACUGUCAAGCUAGAGUGCAGGAGAGGAAGGUAGAAUUCCCGGUGUAGCGGUGAAAUGCGUAGAGAUCGGGAGGAAUACCAGUGGCGAAGGCGGCCUUCUGGACUGACACUGACACUGAGGUGCGAAAGCGUGGGUAGCAAACAGGAUUAGAUACCCUAGUAGUC
rnacentral:rRNA from 1 species